ensembl:lncRNA
AUAUGAAGUUACAUCAUAAUUUAAUAGAACUUGUUACUUGUAAGCUGUCCAUCACAGUGAAAGCAAGUGUGAUGUUUUAUAAGCCAGCGACAUGAGAUAACAUCAGCAUUCAUAUAAAUAUGUGCAGGUGAAGUAAUGGUAGAUAUUGUCCUGGUUAAAGGUGUGUGCAGACACAGCUUGAAUGCAAGUGUCUCUCUGCUUUUGUCCUCCUGAAACAGCCAACAACACUGACUGUUGCAGUGCUGUUUCACACAUGCUCUGUGACAUUUUUCUGCUGCUACAUUUUACGCUGUGACUGUGAACAGGUUUGUAGAAAAAGUAUUAUUAAGAGAAACCAUUCUCAUCAUAAAACAGUCAGGGGACACUCAUUAAUCAAUCCAAAGAGACUUUAUUUAUGAUAUUUUUGAAAAGUGCAAUGAUAAGAUCAGUGUUGAGAUUGUAGACAUCACAAUAUUGUUAAUAUUAGUCCCCUGAUCACACGCUUGGAUGAUACACAUACAAACAACAUCUCAGGGAGGAAAACAUCAAACAUGUCUGAUCUGAACCCCCCCCCCCCCCUAAAACUACAAUAAAUAAGAAUUCAAAUAUGCUUUACAACCUGGUUACUUAAUAAUUUCAAAACUUCACAUGUACUUUGGUUUAUUACUUCAUUUUCAGGAUGUGAACUUAAAAAUGUUACAAAUAUGAGCUGAGUACAUGUGACAUCAGAACCAGAACUAAUGUAAGGAAGCUGAUGUUGUUCACCAUGGCAGAGGAAGUGGUUCUUGCAGUAGUUCUGGUUGUUGUUGGGGUUGUUGUUGGGGUGGUUGCUGAGGUUGUUGUAGUGGUUGUACUUGUUGUUGGGGCAGUUGAGGUUGUUGUUGGGGUCGUUGCUGAUGUCGUUGUAGUGGUUGUAGUUGUUGGGGUAGUUGUGCUUGUUGUUGGGGUAGUUGCUGAGGUUUUUGUAGUGGUUGUACUUGUUGUUGGGAUACUUGAGGUUGUUGUAGGGGUAGUUGUUGAUGUUGUUGUAGUUGCUGUGGUUGUGGUUGUUGUUGGGGUAGUUGCUGAUGUCGUUGUAGUGGUUGUAGUUGUUGUUGGGGUAGUUGUGCUUGUUCUUUGGGUAGUUGCUGAUGUUUUUGUAGUGGUUGUACUUGUUGUUGGGGUAGUUGAGGUUGUUGUUCGGGUCGUUGCUGAUGUCGUUGUAGUGGUUGUAGUUGUUGGGGUAGUUGUGCUUGUUGUUGGGGUAGUUGCUGAGGUUUUUGUAGUGGUUGUACUUGUUGUUGGGAUACUUGAGGUUGUUGUAGGGGUAGUUAUAGAUGUUGUUGUACUGGCUGUGGUUGUUGUUGGGGUAGUUGAGGUUGCUGUUGGAGCAGCUGUGGUUGUUGUUGGGGCAGCUGUUGUAGUUGUGGUUGAGGUUGUUGUCACCACAGCUGUAGUUGUUGUAGUUGGGGCUGCAAUUGUAGAUGUUGUUGGGGCAGCUGUUGUGGUCCUUGUAGGGGCAGCAGUCGUGGUUGUUGGGGCUGCUGUUGUGGUUGUUGUUGGGGCACCUGUUGUGGUUGUAGUUGGUGCGGCUGUUGUGCUUGUUAAAGCAGCUGUGCUCGUGGCUGCAGUUGUGGUUGUUAAUGGGGAUGCUGUAGUUGUCGUUGUUGGGGCAGUUGUUGUGGUUGUUGUUGGGGCUGCAGUUGUAGUUGUUGGCACAGCUGUUGUGGUUGUAGUUUGGAAAGUUGUCGUGGUUGUUGUUGGUGUAGCUGUAGUAGUUGUUUUUGGGACUGAAGUUGUUGUGGUUGUUGUUUGGGCACCUGUAGUUGUUGAUGUGGGGGUGGUUGUUGUGGUUGUUGUUGGUGCUGCAGAUAUGGUUGUUGUUGGAGCAGGUGUAGUUGUUGUUGUUGGGCUAGCUGUUGUGGUUGUGGUUGUUUGAGAAGCUGUGGUUGUCACUGUAGUUGUAAUUGUUGUUGGUGAAACAGUUGUGGUUGUUGUGGUUGUUGUUGGUGAAGCUGUACUAGUUGUUGUUGGUACAGCAGUUGUUGUGGUUGUUGUUGGGGCAGCAGUAGUUGUUGUUGUUGGGGCAUCUGUUGUGGUUGUUGUUGGGCCUGGUGUUGUAGUUGUUGGUGCAGCAGUUGUGGUUGUUGUUUGGGCAGCUGUAGUUGUUGGCGCAGCAGUUGUGGUUGUUGAGGUUGUUGUUGGUGCAGCUGUAGUAGUUGUUGUUGGGACUGCAGUUGUUGUGGUUGUUGAUGGGGCAGCUGUAGUUGUUGUUGUUGUGGUUGGUGGCGCAGCUGUAGUUGUUGUUGUUGGGGCAGCUGUAGUUGUUGUUGUUGGUGCACCUGUAGUAGUUGUUGUUGUGAAUGUAGUUGUUGUGCUUGUUGUUGGGGCAGCAGUUGUAGUUGUUGGCACAUCAGUUAUGGAUGUUGUUUGGGCUACUGUAGCAGCAGUUGUUGGGGCAGCUGUUGUGGUUGGGGCAGCUGUAGUUGUUUUUGGGGUGGCUGUUGUGGUUGUUGUUGGGCCUGGCGUUGUAGUUGUUGGCGCAGCAGUUGUGGUUGUUGUUGGGGCAGCUGUAGUUGUUGUUGUUGGAGCUGCAGUUGUUGUUGUUGGCGCUGCAGUUGUGGUUGUUGUCGGUGCAGCUGUAAUUGUUGUUGUUGUGACUGCAAUUGUUGUUGUUGGGGCAGCGGUUGUGGUUGUUGUUGGGGCAGCUGUAGUUGUUGUUGUGUGGGCGCUUGUUGUGGUUUUUGUUGGAGCUGCAGUUGUGGUUGUUGGGGCGGCUGUUGUGGUUGUUGUUGGGGCAGCUGUAGUUGUUGUUGUUGGGGCGGCUGUUGUGGUUGUUGUUGGGGCAGCUGUAGUUGUUGUUGUUGGGGCGGCAGUUGUGGUUGUUGUUGGGGCAGCUGUAGUUGUUGUUGUUGGGGCUGCAGUAGUUGUUGUUGGGGCAGCUGUAGUCGUUGUUGGGGCGGCUGUUGUUGUUGUAGGGGCAGUUGUAGCAGUUGUUGGGGCAGCUGUAGUUGUUGUUGUUGUUGGGGCUGUAGUUGUUGUUGUUGGGGCAGCUGUAGCAGUUGUGGUUGUUGUUGGGGCAGCUGUAGUUGUUGUUGUUGGGGCUGCAGUUGUGGUUGUUGGGGCAGCUGUAGUUGUUGUUGUUGGAGCUGCAGUUGUGGUUGUUGGAGCAGCAGUUGUGGUUGUUGUUGGGGCAGCUGUAGUUGUUGUUGUUGUUGGGGCGGCUGUUGUGGUUGUUGUUGGGGCAGCUGUAGUUGUUGUUGUCUGGGCUGUUGUUGUGGUUGUUGUUGUGGCGGCUGUAGUCGUUGUUGUUGGGGCGGCAGUUGUGGUUGUUGUUGGCGCAGCAGCUGUAGUCGUUGUUGGGGCAGCUGUAGUUGUUGUUGUUGGGGCAGCUGUAGUUGUUGUUGUUGGAGCAGCUGUAGUUGUUGUUGUUGGAACUGCAGUUGUGGUUGUUGGAGCAGCAGUUGUGGUUGUUGUUGGGGCAGAUGUAGUUGUUGUUGUUGGGGGAGCAGUUGUGGUUGUUGGGGCAGCUGUAGCAGUUGUUGUUGGGGCUGCAGUAGUUGUUGUUGUUAGGGCAGCAGUUGUGGUUGUUGUUGGGGCAGCUGCAGUUGUUGUUGUUGGGGCGGCUGUUGUGGUUGUUGUUGGGGCAGCUGUAGUUGUUGUUGUUGGGGCAGCAGUAGCUGUAGUUGUUGUUGUUGGCGCAGCAGUUGUGGUUGUUGUUGGUGCAGCUGUAGUAGUUGUUGUUGGGGCAGCUGUAGUUGUUGUUGGCGCAGCAGUUGUGGUUGUUGUUGGGGCAGCAGUUGUGGUUGUUGUUGGGGCAGCUGUUGUGGUUGUUGUUGGGGCAGCUGUAGUUGUUGUUGUUGUGGCGGCAGUUGUGGUUGUUGUUGGGGCGGCAGUUGUUGUUGUUGUUGGGGCAGCAGUAGCUGUUGUUGUUGGGGCGGCUGUUGUGGCUGUUGUUGGGGCAGCUGUAGUUGUUGUUG